rnacentral:lncRNA from 1 species
GCGCUCGCUCGGUGCUCUGCGCUCGGUUGGUGCUGGUGGUGGCCGGUUCCCGGUAGGGAGCGGCCUUCUCCGCGUCCGGCCGGGGCUGCCUCAGCGCCUGCCGCUCCGGUUCGGAAGACUCCCAGGAUGAAGCUGCUGUGAGGAGCUUGAGGGGCCAGCACACAGGCUUUCAGGGCUCCCUUUCUGAGUGGAAUACAG